rnacentral:misc_RNA from 1 species
CGCCUCCCGUAAAUGGGAGGCAUGCCUGUCUGAGCGUCAUUUAAAACCAUAACCUUUGGGUUGUAUUGGGACUCGCCCUACGGCGUCUCCUCAAAGUCAUCGUGUCUAAAAGCGUACGAGCUCCAUUAGGACAGAACGUUUGAGGACCCUAAACUCUCUGACUUGACCUCAGAUCAGGUAGGACUACCGCCUGAACUUAA